rnacentral:rRNA from 1 species
AAGCAUUGUUUCUAGAUCUGAGUAUAUCAAUAUUACCUUGUUCAGAACUUAAAGAGAAAUCUUGAGUUUAUGGACUUCAGGGGGAGUAUGGUCACAAGGCUGAAACUUAAAGGAAUUGACGGAAGGGCACACCAGGAGUGGAGCCUGCGGCUUAAUUUGACUCAACACGGGAAAACUUACCAAGACCGAACAGUAGAAGGAAUGACAGAUUAAGAGUUCUUUCAUGAUUUAUUGGGUAGUGGUGCAUGGCCGUUCUUAGUUGGUGGAGUGAUUUGUCAGGUUAAUUCCGGUAACGAACGAGACUGAAACCUAUUAAUUAGUUUUCUGCCUAUAAGACAGAAAUGUUCGCAAGAACAGGUGCGUAAGUACCACUUCUUAAAGGGACACAUUUCAAU